AGAGUUUGAUCCUGGCUCAGGAUGAACGCUAGCGGCAGGCCUAACACAUGCAAGUCGAGGGAGGAGCUUUCGGGCUUCGACCGGCGUACGGGUGCGUAACGCGUAUACAAUCUGCCUUUCACAUAGGGAUAGCCCGAAGAAAUUUGGAUUAAUACCUAAUGGUAUAUAGGAGUGGCAUCACAUUUAUAUUAAAGCUGAGGCGGUGAAAGAUGAGUAUGCGUUCUAUUAGCUAGUUGGAGAGGUAACGGCUCCCCAAGGCGACGAUAGAUAGGGGUUCUGAGAGGGAUAUCCCCCACACUGGUACUGAGAUACGGACCAGACUCCUACGGGAGGCAGCAGUGAGGAAUAUUGGACAAUGGUCGGAAGACUGAUCCAGCCAUGCCGCGUGCAGGAAGACGGCCUUAUGGGUUGUAAACUGCUUUUGCAGGGGAAGAAUAAGGAGUACGUGUACUUUGAUGACGGUACUCUGCGAAUAAGCAUCGGCUAACUCCGUGCCAGCAGCCGCGGUAAUACGGAGGAUGCGAGCGUUAUCCGGAUUUAUUGGGUUUAAAGGGUGCGUAGGCGGCCUGUUAAGUCAGCGGUGAAAUCUAGGAGCUUAACUCCUAAAUUGCCAUUGAUACUGGCGGGCUUGAGUGUAGAUGAGGUAGGCGGAAUGCGUGGUGUAGCGGUGGAAUGCAUAGAUAUCACGCAGAACUCCGAUUGCGAAGGCAGCUUACUAAGGUACAACUGACGCUGAAGCACGAAAGCGUGGGUAUCAAACAGGAUUAGAUACCCUGGUAGUCCACGCUGUAAACGAUGAUAACUGGGCGUAUGCGAUAUACAGUAUGCUCCUAAGCGAAAGCGUUAAGUUAUCCACCUGGGGAGUACGCCGGCAACGGUGAAACUCAAAGGAAUUGACGGGGGCCC
rnacentral:rRNA from 1 species